rnacentral:rRNA from 1 species
AGAGUUUGAUUAUGGCUCAGGAUGAACGCUGGCGGCGUGCUUAACACAUGCAAGUCGAACGGAGUUUUUAACGGAAGUUUCGGAUGGAAGUUUAAAACUAGUGGCGGACGGGUGAGUAACGCGUGGGUAACCUGCCUCAUACAGGGGGAUAACAGUUAGAAAUGACUGCUAACACCGCAUAAUAUAGCGAAACCGCAUGAUUUUGCUAUCAAAUAUUUAUAGGUAUGAGAUGGGCCCGCGUCUGAUUAGCUAGUUGGUGGGGUAAAAGCCUACCAAGGCGACGAUCAGUAGCCGGCUUGAGAGAGUGACCGGCCACAUUGGGACUGAGACACGGCCCAAACUCCUACGGGAGGCAGCAGUGGGGAAUAUUGGACAAUGGGGGAAACCCUGAUCCAGCGACGCCCGCGUGAGUGAAGAAGUAUUUCGGUAUGUAAAGCUCUAUCAGCAGGGAAGAUAAUGACAGUACCUGACUAAGAAGCCCCGGCUAACUACGUGCCAGCAGCUGC